rnacentral:tRNA from 1 species
CGGCCGGCUCGCCGGGCGUGACGGGCUGGGCGGCCUGGUAGGCCGCGAGGGUGGCGGUCAGGCCGGCCGGGUCGACGCCGGCUCGGCGGGC